rnacentral:misc_RNA from 1 species
GUGAAUCAUCGAAUCUUUGAACGCAAAUUGCACUCUCUGGUAUUCCGGAGAGUAUGCCUGUUUGAGGGUCAGUUAAAAUAAAAAUCGGUGUGGUUGCUGCCUUUCGUGGUGACGCACCGGAUUUGGGUCGUCUUGGCUUCGGUUCAUUGAUCUCAAAUUCUGCAUGAUUUUUUUCGAACGCAUUUAAACGGUUUUACGUACGUUUGCGACAUGGAUUAC